AGAUUGAACGCUGGCGGCAUGCCUAACACAUGCAAGUCGAGCGGCAGCGCGGGGGCGACCCUGGCGGCGAGCGGCGGACGGGUGAGUAAGGCAUCGGAAUCUGCCCUGAUGUGGGGGAUAACGCAGCGAAAGUUGUGCUAAUACCGCAUAAGCUCUGAGGAGGAAAGCGGGGGACCGAAAGGCCUCGCGCUGAAGGAGCGGCCGAUGUCCGAUUAGCUAGUUGGUGAGGUAAAGGCUUACCAAGGCGACGAUCCGUAGCUGGUCUGAGAGGACGACCAGCCACACUGGGACUGAGACACGGCCCAGACUCCUACGGGCGGCAGC
rnacentral:rRNA from 1 species